UUCUCGGUCAGACACGGUUCCUUGGAGGUUCUUCAGCCGCUGGCGUAAGGUUCUCUCUUCCCUUGAUGGUUUUCAUUUUAUUAUCACUCACAUCUACAGGGAAGGGAACCGGGUUGCGGAUUGUUUGGCUUCUUCUGUAGCGGAGGAAGGCUAUUGGAAUUUUACGAUCCCGGAUAUCCUACAGUUGGUGAAGGAUGACAGGCGGCAACUUCCUUACAUUCGGGUUGUCAAUUGAGGUGUUCUUCUUUCUUGGGUGUUCCUCUCCCUUUUCUUGCUUGCGUUUUGUUUGUUUCGUUUGUUUGUUAGUGAUUCUGCCUGUCUGGUGUGAUGACUUCUCCCUUUCGCACUUUCUUGCCUCUCUUACUUCUUUGGUCCAGCUUGGUCUCCUUGGGGCACUGGUUUGUGUUUGUUUGGGUUGUUAAUCUGGUUCUUUUGGUCCUGCUGUCCGGGUGUUGGGAAGGUUUCCAAAGUUUGGGUAGUCACACUUGGCGGUCCUUGCUUGUCGUGAUUUGUCCGGUAGAUGCUAGCAGGAGUGUCUUCACUGCGAUAAGCUUAAUAUCUUCUCUGGUUGGUAUUGGAGUUUGCUGCUGGUCUUUGCUCCUCUGAUGGAUCCCUCAUUAUGAGCAUGGGAAAUCACGCGGGAAAACUUGGGUUACCACCAAUGGUUUCAUCCCGUGAUCUUGACCUUGAAAAGCACUUUUUGAGCAUAAGCUUAAUAAGUUUGAGAAUUGAUUAUAAAAGUAAUUGCUUUAGGAGAUUCACUGCUAGCGGAGAACUGGGUCUGAUCGUCUUGUUUGGUCUUCUCGCUGUGAUGUCCCUUGCUUUUGUUCUUCCCUUCAUCUGUGAUGGUUGGAUCUUUUGCUCCUGGGUUUGGUUGGUGCUUGUUUUGAGGUUGUGCCCCUCUGGAGUUCAACCUGUACUGAAGUUUGUUUGGUGGCCAGUUUGUCUUGUUUGGUUGGGUCUUCCCUCGAUGGGCUGGGGCUCGUUUUGUGGUGUUGUCCCCUCUUUUUCCUUUUCUGUGUUUGUUUGCUCUUUUUUGCUGUUUCGGUUUCCUCUUCCGUCGGUUGUUGGUUUUUGGCAGAUCUGCGCUUUUUCCCGUUUGCGCUGAUGCGGCGUCUCCAGUGGUUCCGGAGGUGACCAGAGCAGGGAAGAUUCAUGAUGCGUUCGGUGGGCAUCCUGUGCUGCCCGCUCGGCUUGGUCCGGCCACUGCAGAUUUCUCUGGAUGGCCAGUGCUGCCCCCUCGGGUUUUGUUGUUGGCUCUUUUGUGCUUGAGCUGUGUUUCUUCCGGCUUAGGGGGACGACUCGCCGAUGGGUUUUGGUUUGGCCGUAAUCUGUGGCGGCGAAUUUCCCGUCCCCCUGAACUGUGGUUUUGUUUUUUGGUUUUUCGUUAGGUCGUGUUGCGCCUUACAUUGGUCCCUUGCUGUACUGCUUUUCGUUAGACCAGUUUUGUAACAACUUUUCUUUCUUUCUUUUCAAUAAAAUUUUCAUUUCAGCUUGUAAUAAGGUUUCCCGGGGGACGAGAAUCAAUCCAAAAGGACCUAUAACGAAGGAGAUAUGGCCGAAAGAAAAACCGAAUUUCCAACCCUAGGCUCUGUACAACGUUUUUGGCGGCCAAAACUCGACUGUGAGAUAAUCGAAAUUCGACCAUAUGGGAAUGUAACCCUUGUAAUAAGGUUUCCCGGGGGACGAGAAUCAAUCCAAAAGGACCUAUAACGAAGGAGAUAUGGCCGAAAGAAAAACUGAAUUUCUAACCCUAGGCAGCUGUACUCUAUCAAUUCGAUGGUUCUUCCUAGACUUGGAUCCGAUCACUCCCCCAUUCUGUUGAAAUGUCAGGACACGGCUACUCCUCCCAAGGGUCGUCGAUUUCGUUUUCUUAAUAUGUGGUGCUUACACGAGGGAUUUCUGGAUCAGGUCCGUGCUUCUUGGUCCCAACCGCUGGAUUGUCUCUGCCCGAUGGUUCGAGUUAUGAAAAAGCUGAAACGUCUUCGCCCGACUCUCAAGACUUGGAAUAAGGACACUUUUGGGAAUUACAAUGUUACCCUCGCCGAUCUUCAGCAGGAUCUGAGUUCACUUCAGGAGAAUAUUGACGAACGAGGGUAUACAGAUGAGCUCUUUGAUCAAGAGGUUAACUUGCAAGCUCGCAUAGGAUCGGUCCUUCUGCGUAAGUCUGAGCAUCUGCGGCAGCAAAGUAGGGUCUCUUGGCUUUCUGAUGGAGAUAGGAACACUCGCUUCUUCCAUUCUAUGGUUAAGUGGCGUCGUUCCAAUCAAAAUAUUAAGAAGCUUAAUAUUGAUGGGGUUAUCUCGGAGGACCCGGGUGUCAUGGCGGCCCAUGUGAUUCAUUUUUAUGAGGAUCUCUUUUCGGAGCCGAUUUCUCCGCCGGUGGAUAGAUCUUGGAUUUCCGGUUACAUUCCAGCUUCAGUCUCCCCUGCCCAGUCUGACAUGCUCGUUGCUACUCCCUCUGCUGAGGAUAUUCGGCUGACUGUCUUCUCCAUGGAUAUGAAUAGUGCCCCUGGACCAGACGGGUUUAACGGCGCUUUCUUUAAGCAUUCGUGGGAGGUGGUUGGGGAGGACCUUAUUGCUGCCGUUCGUCGGUUCUUCACUCAUAGCUAUCUUCCCCAGGGCCUUAAUUCCAACUUGCUUUGCCUUCUCCCAAAGAAGACUGAUGCGGUUCUUGUCUCUGACUUCUGACCUAUUGUGUUGGGAAAUUUCCUUUCUAAGGUCAUCACCAAGAUUCUUGCCUCUAGGUUGAACGAGGUAGCUGCUGUUAUUGUCUCGGCCAAUCAGUUUGGGUUUAUCUCUGGGCGUUCUAUACAGGAAUGUAUUCUGCUGGCCUCUGAAGGAGUGAAUUGCAUGGAGCGCUCAAUUCAAGGGAGGAACAUGGCUCUUAAGGUAGAUAUUCGGAAAGCUUUCGAUACCCUGAAUUGGGAUUUUGUGGAGGUUGUGCUGGAUUGCUUUGGUUUCCUUCAGACUUUCAGACACUGGAUUAGAGUUAUUUUUCAAUCUGCCAGAAUUUCGGUUCUCUUUAAUGGAGAGCAGCAUGGUUACUUUGGUUGCUCUCGAGGGGUUCGUCAGGGAGACCCUUUGUCUCCGGUUCUGUUUGCUUUGGCGGAGGAGGUCCUGAGUAGUAUGCUCUCGGACGCUGCUGAUAGGGUAUUCUAUUUGCCCCGUAUGAGGAUGUCCCGCUCUUUUGCUUUUUUCCCCUCUUCAUCUCCUGUAUGCUGAUGAUGUCCUACUUUUUUGUAAAGCUACUUGGCGCAGCUGCAGGAUGAUUGAAUCGAUUCUUCAUAUAUAUGCUUGGUUUCUGGACAGUUCUUCAUAAGGCCAAAUCCAAGGUUUUCUUUGGCAAAGGUGUUUCUGUUCAGCUGAGACGUCGACUACAGCGGGAUCUGGGUUUCUCAACUGGUUCCCUUCCUUUUAUCUAUUUGGGAGUCCCCAUUUUUGCUGGUCGUGCUUCUGCUGCCCGUCUUAUCAGCACUCGUGAUCGCAUCAUCGCCCAUUUUCCUAGAUGGCAGGGCAUGCAGUUAUCUAUGGCGGGCCGUCUUUGCCUCGUCACUUCAGUCAUUCAGAGCGCGGCUGUUCACAGUAUGCUGAUAUAUCGUUGGCCAACUAAGCUUCUUCAUGGUUUGGAUAGAGCUUGUCGGUCGUUUAUUUGGACUGGUUGCACUACUUCUAGGCCUAAGUCAUCUGUGGCUUGGAAUCGAGUUUGCGCCCCCAAGACUCAGGGUGGGCUUAAUGUGAAAUCCUUUACACACAUCAGCCAGAGUUUCAUGUUGAGGUUAGGCUGGUUGCUGAUUACUGCGGACUCGAUGGGUUUUCAGUUGUUUCGCCAACGCUAUCUGGAUGCGUGCCUAAGACCUCGCUCCCCUUGGUUCUCUUCUACGAUUUGGUUGGGCACCCGAGCUGCUAUCCAGACUCUCGUCAGCGACACUCAUUGUUCUAUUGGUUCUGGUUCUAAUAUUCUUUUUUGGACUGAUAACUGGUUAGGGUAUCGUCUGGUUGAUAGAAUCGGCAUUCCGGAUACUUUUCUAUCAUGCUCUUUUGCAGCCGAUCUCGGAUUACUACUUUGAUUAUACCUGGCACUUAACUUUGAAUUUUUUGCAGAUCUUUCCGGAUAUUGCCUUUGAUAUUGUCUCGGUUCCUAUUAGCGAGGGAGAGGAUCGAAGAGCUUGGACCCAUUCUCAUUUUGGUGAGGUCUCCGCGUCGCUUGCUUCGAAUCAUAUUCGUCCCUGCUUUCCGACCGUUGAUUGGGGUAAGUGGAUCUGGGCUCCGUUUAUCCCAAUGCGGCGUUCCAUUGUCACUUGGCGGGUGAUUCUGGGGCGUCUUGCGACUGCUAGCUCUCUUCGUCGUUCGGGCUGGUUGGUCCGGGCUGGUGCCCUCUCUGCCGGAAUGCGAAUAGAGGAUAUUGAUCAUCUUUUUUGGGACUGUACUUUUGCUCGACAAAUCUGGCGCUCCCUUUUCGGCUGGUUCAGGGUGGAUAGUCCGUUGAUUCACGACAUUGGGAGUCUGCUUCUCUGGGCAAUGAAGGUGCAGACUAGCAAGCAAGUUGUAAAUCUUUGGCGAAUGGGUGUUAUGUCCACGAUUUGGAGCAUCUGGAAUAUUCGUAACAGAGUUGUAUUUGAUGCGGCUUCUGUCUCUGAGAGGGCACUUUCGAUCCAGAUCAAAUCUUUUAUUUUGGAAACUUCCCAAUUAUGUUCUAGUGAGAUGGCUAACUCUGUUGAGGACUUACUGAUUCUUCAUGGUCUUGGGGUGCCAAGCAGACCUCGUCGCCCGACCUCUUUUGUUUAUGUUUUCUGGAUUCCGCCUCCGACUCCUUGGCGCAAAAUCAAUAUUGAUGGCUCGGUUCAUGGAUCCCCUCCUCUGAUUCACGCUGGUGGAGUUAUCAGAGAUUCUUCUAGCGUUCUGGGUUGUUUUCAUUUCUCUGCUGGACGUGGUUGGGCUUUUGAGGCAGAGCUGCUUGCCCUCAUCAUUGCUUUGGAGCAAUCUGUCAAUCAUGGUUGGAGACACGUUUGGAUCGAGACUGACUGCGCUAUUGGUGGAUCUUUUCAGUUCUCGGUCAGACACGGUCCUUGAGGUUCUUCAGCCGGUGGCGUAAGGUUCUCUCUUCCCUUGCUGGUUUUCAUUUUAUUAUCACUCACAUCUACAGGGAAGGGAACCGGGUUGCGGACUGUUUGGCUUCUUCUGUAGCGGAGGAAGGCUAUUGGAAUUUUACGAUCCCGGAUAUCCUACAGUUGGUGAAGGAUGACAGGCGGCAACUUCCUUACAUUCGGGUUGUCAAUUGAGAUCUGCGCUUUUUCCCGUUUGCGCUGAUGCGGCGUCUCAAGUGGUUCCGGAGGUGACCAGAGCAGGGAAGAUUCAUGAUGCGUUCGGUGGGCAUCCUGUGCUGCACGCUCGGCUUGGUCCGGCCAAUGCAGAUUUCUCUGGAUGGCCAGUGCAGCCCCCUCGGGUUUUGUUGUUGGCUCUUUUGUGCUUGAGCUGUGUUUCUUCCGGCUUAGGGGGACGAGUCGCCGAUGGGUUUUGGUUUGGCCGUAAUCUGUGGCGGCGAAUUUCCCGUCCCCCUGAACUGUGGUUUUGUUUUUUGGUUUUUCGUUAGGUCGUGUUGCGCCUUACAUUGGUCCCUUGCUGUACUGCUUUUCGUUACACCGGUUUUGUAACAACUUUUCUUUCUUUCUUUUCAAUAAAAUUUUCAUUUCAGCAGC
rnacentral:lncRNA from 1 species